UACGUAGGGUGCAAGCGUUGUCCGGAAUUAUUGGGCGUAAAGAGCUCGUAGGCGGUUUGUCGCGUCUGCUGUGAAAACUCGGGGCUUAACCCCGAGCCUGCAGUGGAUACGGGCAGACUAGAGGUAGGUAGGGGAGAAUGGAAUUCCCGGUGUAGCGGUGAAAUGCGCAGAUAUCGGGAGGAACACCCGUAGCGAAGGCGGCACUCUGGGCCGGAACUGACGCUGAGGAGCGAAAGCGUGGGGAGCAAACAGG
rnacentral:rRNA from 1 species